UAGGGAAUUUUCGUCAAGUGGGGGCAACCCUGAACGAGCAAUGCCGCGUGAGCGAAGAAGGUCUUCGGAUUGUAAAGCUCUGUUGACCGGGGAAAAAGGAAGGAAAGAGGAAAUGCUUUUCUUUGGAUGGUACCCGGCCAGAAAGUCACGGCUAACUACGUGCC
rnacentral:rRNA from 1 species